AGUGAACGCUGGCGGUAGGCCUAACACAUGCAAGUCGAACGGCAGCACAGUAAGAGCUUGCUCUUACGGGUGGCGAGUGGCGGACGGGUGAGGAAUACAUCGGAAUCUACUUUUUCGUGGGGGAUAACGUAGGGAAACUUACGCUAAUACCGCAUACGACCUACGGGUGAAAGCAGGGGAUCUUCGGACCUUUCGCGAUUGAAUGAGCCGAUGUCGGAUUAGUUAGUUGGCGGGGUAAAGGCCCACCAAGGCGACGAUCCGUAGCUGGUCUGAGAGGAUGAUCAGCCACACUGGAACUGAGACACGGUCCAGACUCCUACGGGAGGCAGCAGUGGGGAAUAUUGGACAAUGGGCGCAAGCCUGAUCCAGCCAUACCGCGUGGGUGAAGAAGGCCUUCGGGUUGUAAAGCCCUUUUGUUGGGAAAGAAAAGCAGCAGGUUAAUACCCCGCUGUUCUGACGGUACCCAAAGAAUAAGCACCGGCUAACUUCGUG
rnacentral:rRNA from 1 species